rnacentral:tRNA from 1 species
GGGCGUGUGGUGUAGGGGUAUCACGUCUGCUUCGCAUGCAGAAGGCCCCGGGUUUAAUUCCCGGCACGUCCA